AAGAUUUUCAAAUUAAGCUUCUAACUUGAUAUAUAGCGAUAAAUUAUCGUUAAAUCUUU
rnacentral:tRNA from 1 species